AUCAUUACCUGAGGCCACGGGCCGUUCCCGGGCGCGCCUAGCGCACCCCCGGGAGCGCUUAGCCCCUGACUAUCACCUUGACUAUGCGCACCUUUGUUGUUCCCUCGGCAGUCCGCUGCCGCCAGGGACCACGAAACCCCUUGCAUCAGCAUCAAACUUCUGAAAACCAACCUAAUAUUUACAACUUUCAACAAUGGAUCUCUUGGUUCUGGCAUCGAUGAAGAACGCAGCGAAAUGCGAUAAGUAGUGUGAAUUGCAGAAUUCAGUGAAUCAUCGAAUCUUUGAACGCACAUUGCGCCCCUUGGUAUUCCAUGGGGCAUGCCUGUUCGAGCGUCAUUUACACCCUCAAGCUCCGCUUGGUGUUGGGCGUCUGUCCGCGCUGUUUGCGUGGACUCGCCCCAAAGGUAUUGGCAGCGGUCUUGCCAGCUUCUCGCGCAGCACAUUGCGCUUCUGGAGGCUUCGGCGGAUCGGCGUCCAUCAAGUCCACACCCACAGUUUGACCUCGGAUCAGGUAGGGAUACCCCGCUGAACUUAAGCAUAUCAAUAAGCGGAGGAA
rnacentral:rRNA from 1 species